rnacentral:RNase_P_RNA from 1 species
GCGGAAGGCUGGAUGGCCGCUUCGGUGCUUGCAAAAGCACCGGGGAGGAAAGUCCGGACUCCAAGAAGGAACGGUGCCGGGUAACGCCCGGGCGGGGCAACCCGACGGAAAGCGCCACAGAAAAGAAACCGCCACUCGGUCCGGCUUGCCGGAAUACCCGAGGGGUAAGGGUGAAACGGUGGGGUAAGAGCCCACCGCGGGGCUGGCAACAGUUCUGGCACGGCAAGCCCCACCGGGAGCAAUGCCAAAUAGGGACCGCGCGCCACUGAUCUUUGGGUCAGAGGCGGGGCUCUUCUGCCCCAGCAGGUCCGGGUUGGCAGCUGUAGCCGCAUCGGCAACGGUGCGGUCAGAGGAAUGGUCAUCGCCUGUUUUGCGACAGGUACAGAAUCCGGCUUAUAGGCCUUCCGCGCAA